rnacentral:ribozyme from 1 species
UCUCUUUCGCCGCUAUUGAGGACGACUGGGUGGUCGUUCCGGGACGCCGGAUGGCGGCCGAUGGCGGCAGGACGUCCCCGGGGCGGCUGGGAGCGCUGCUCGGAGGAGGCAGGGAUGACUCCAGCGAUGACGAGGCGACGUCGCUCGUC